UACGGGGGGUGCGAGCGUUGUCCGGAAUCACUGGGCGUAAAGGGCGCGUAGGUGGUUUGAUAAGGGUGUGGUGAAAGUCCGGGGCUCAACUCCGGAUCUGCCGUGCCGACUGUCAAACUCGAGGGCUGUAGAGGCAGACGGAAUUCCCGGUGUAGCGGUGAAAUGCGUAGAGAUCGGGAGGAACACCAGUGGCGAAGGCGGCUUUCUGGCCUGUUCUUGACGCUGAGGCGCGAAAGCUAGGGGAGCGAACGGG
rnacentral:rRNA from 1 species